rnacentral:rRNA from 1 species
GAUUAAGCCAUGCAUGUCUAAGUAUAAGCAAUCUAUACGGUGAAACUGCGAAUGGCUCAUUAAAUCAGUUAUCGUUUAUUUGAUAGUACCUUACUACAUGGAUAACCGUGGUAAUUCUAGAGCUAAUACAUGCUAAAAACCCCGACUUCGGGAGGGGUGUAUUUAUUAGAUAAAAAACCAACGCCCUUCGGGGCUCCUUGGUGAUUCAUGAUAACUUAACGAAUCGCAUGGCCUUGCGCCGGCGAUGGUUCAUUCAAAUUUCUGCCCUAUCAACUUUCGAUGGUAGGAUAGUGGCCUACCAUGGUAUCAACGGGUAACGGGGAAUUAGGGUUCGAUUCCGGAGAGGGAGCCUGAGAAACGGCUACCACAUCCAAGGAAGGCAGCAGGCGCGCAAAUUACCCAAUCCCGACACGGGGAGGUAGUGACAAUAAAUACUGAUACAGGGCUCUUUUGGGUCUUGUAAUUGGAAUGAGUACAAUUUAAAUCCCUUAACGAGGAACAAUUGGAGGGCAAGUCUGGUGCCAGCAGCCGCGGUAAUUCCAGCUCCAAUAGCGUAUAUUAAAGUUGUUGCAGUUAAAAAGCUCGUAGUUGAACCUCGGGCCUGGCUGGCCGGUCCGCCUCACCGCGUGCACUGGUCCGGCCGGGCCUUUCCUCCUGGGGAUCCGCAUGCCCUUCACUGGGUGUGCCGGGGAACCAGGACUUUUACUUUGAAAAAAUUAGAGUGUUCAAAGCAGGCCUUUGCUCGAAUACAUUAGCA